rnacentral:lncRNA from 1 species
AGCGUCGUAGCCAGGGAGAGAAGCAAUGUUGUCACCGUGUUACCGCCCUUGUUGAUCUGGGUCGAUCCCGUCGCUCCAUCCUCGGCAUAGAGUCUAGAAGAUCGGCUUAGGAACUAGGAACAUUCUGAUGUGGGUUUACCACAUUGGGAUCGGUCGGUGGUAGAGGAAUUUGUCAGCGGAGUUGAGUCUCUACCACUGGGACAUCCUGUGUCGUUUGCAGGGGCUCUGCGUCGUGCAAUGCAAGGUAAGAAUGACCUCCUCGUGAUGCUCUUAGUCACCGCAUUCUUUUGCGCUUAGCUAGGGGUAGUGGGGGAGUAUGGAACGUCGUAUCAGCGUUCUCCAGUGUGGUCACCCUUUGCGAGCGGGCGGCGCCGCCACCUAGUGUCCGUCGCGGGAGAAGAACGUGUACCGUUGGUUUGGAAAGGAACGGUCAGGAAUAGACCUGGCGGAUAACGGUUGGGCCCUUGAUCCAUACCAUUGAUAUGUGAUUGGAGUGUUGUGGGUUGGGCACAACUAUUUUAAAUCCGAACCGUAGGCACCCGAUCGGAUGGAUAGGCUUGGAUCAAAGGGUGGACUAUUGUGGACCAUUGAUUCAGGAUCCAAGGGUGGGGGUGAUAUACUGAUUCAUUAUAAAAUUCGACUGAUCUAUGUCGUGGGCUUUUAAUCCAACGAACAAUACAUAUCCAUACCCUUUCGUUGAAGCAAAUUUGUAAAAGAAAAUCCAAAGAAUCUUUAAAACAAUUCGCCAUCCUCUGUCCUAUUGAAAGUAUUCACAUCGCGGUCCCUGAGUUUCGCAGUUUAGCUCCUAGAAACUAGUUUAGAUAUAAAAAUAAUACUUAUAUGUCCAGAAACUUGUAAAUUUCACAACUCCCUCGUUUUAACUUCGAAUUAGUCCGUUCCAAUUAUAUUAGCUUCGUAAUAAUAUUUCCUUUGCUUUUGUAAAAUUAUUUUACCACGCAACAUGUUCUAAAAAAUAAAUAACCAAUUCAUUUAACCUAUGCUUAUUAAUUAACUUGGGUAAUCUAAGUUGAUAUAGUAUUUUAAUUUGGAUCAUCUAUAAUUUGACUAAAAUAUUAUUUGGUCUAGAUUAAAAGUGGAGUAAACUUAGUUAUAUUUUAUCACAUGAUUUAUGUUAAGCAACACAAAGACAUAGUUUUCAUAGUUAAUCACCUAAAAUUUCAGAAAAUCAUAUCUUUUCACCGUAACUCCGAUUUUAAUGGUUCUUGAACCCACGAUCGCGUAGCAUCGCAUAGAAUACUCUUACGUUGUUUGUUCUCAUGUUUGGUGUACUGUUAUGUUUAUGUACUCCUUGCCUAUUUGUAUGUAUUACUACGAGUAGCAGUGAGGUCACGAGAAACUUGAAGACAAGCUUGGAGAAGUACCUGGGAAACUCAAGUCACAGGCAAGUUGUGCCCUUGAUAACUCUUCUUUGCCUAAUAACGUUCCUGAUAAUCACUGUGACAUGUUCAGGUUAAUUUGAUGGGACCUAAUAGGCUUCCCUAAUAUUGUUUAUCCUACAUCUUGCAAACAAAUGAACUAUUGGGUAGUAUUGCUAUUGCUCUACCUGGUUUUGGGAUUAAUGAUUUAUUGAAUUAUUAUCAUGUUUCACUAUUAUUGCUGGUUUAUUAUUGUUCAUGACAAGAUCAUUAUGUUAAUUGGAACAUGGAGCGACCACCCGGGAAAAAAAGUGCUACCACAAGGGUGGUAUUGGAUGCCCUUGGAUGACUAAUUAGGAAAGCUAGUGGAGGACUACAUUACCCCCAAAGGGGCAAGGGUGGUACAGGAGCUACGGUAUAGGGAGGUUCUCGGGUCGAUCAUGCUGCGAUGUUUUUUUUGGAUGAGGGAUUGCUAUAUUUCCCUUCUCAGAAACCGUAGCGGGUUUUCUUAAGCUAGUGGAACUUUUUUAAGGCCUCGUAGUGCUACCCUGCCUCGUCUCCUCGGUAGAGACGAAUGGGAAGUCGCGAUCCCUUGUAAAAUGGGUAACAUGACUUGUGGGUAAAGAUGUGCAACCUCUGCAUAGUGUAAAACUGGUAUAUCAGUCGUGCCCACGGUCAUGAGCAGCUCGGACCCUCACAUGGGUAAUUUAUGGAACUAAACUUAAUUUGUCAUAUUCAUUGAAUUGCGGGUUUAUAUAAUUUUGAUCUCUUUUUAUUUGGGAUGGUAUCUACUUAUACGUAGUAACUGCUAAUAAAACUUUGACCAAAUUUAAAAUCAAUGCUCAGCUUUAACCAUCUCCUUUGGUAAGCCUUACACUUCACAUGAGCCCCAUUUUAAGUGAGCUCAUGCACAUUAUUUCCCACAAUUUGUUGAGCAAUGAACGUAUAUGAGCUCACCCUUGAUGUACUCACAUCCCCCCUAGGUCAAGGACAGGUACCACAAGAUAAGGAGCUUGAAGGAUGUUGUGAUGAUUCAUGAGAGGUCUUGGCCUCGUCUCCUAGUCAACUAUGGUUGCUGGAUUAUUGCCUUCUUAUGAUGUAAUUAUAUAGCUAUUUUAUAUAGAACUCCUAUUAUAUAUUAAAUAUGUGACAUUCGUUUAUGUACCAUGAGUCAUCAUAUGUGCGAGACUUGAUUCUAGCACACAUUUGAUUCACGCCCGGGUUUGCCUCCUAAAUUCGGGUGUGACAGAAAUGGUAUCAGAGGAAUGUUGACUGUAGGAUGUAACCUAGAUAGAACUAAACAAAACCCUUACUUACUUACCUUAGCUACUCAUAUUCUUUCUAAGCUUUCCUUGAUUUUCUCAUAUAUUACUACUUUACUCUGAUUAUUCUUACACUUUGAAAUCAUGUAUCUAAAGUGUCCUCUAGGAAUAGGCGACCUAAUCUUAAGAACAAAAACAAAACUACUUUUGUAGGUGUCU